ACCGAAUUCAGACAAACUCCGAAUGCCAAUUAAUUUAACUUGGGAGUCAGAACAUGGGUGAUAAGGUCCGUGUUCGAAAGGGAAACAGCCCAGACCACCAGCUAAGGUCCCAAAAUAUAUGUUAAGUGGAAAAGGAUGUGGCGUUGCCCAGACAACUAGGAUGUUGGCUUAGAAGCAGCCAUCAUUUAAAGAGUGCGUAAUAGCUCACUAGUCGAGUGACACUGCGCCGAAAAUGUACCGGGGCUAAACAUAUUACCGAAGCUGUGGAUUGUCCUUUGGACAAUGGUAGGAGAGCGUUCUAAGGGCGUUGAAGCAUGAUCGUAAGGACAUGUGGAGCGCUUAGAAGUGAGAAUGCCGGUGUGAGUAGCGAAAGACGGGUGAGAAUCCCGUCCACCGAUUGACUAAGGUUUCCAGAGGAAGGCUCGUCCGCUCUGGGUUAGUCGGGUCCUAAGCUGAGGCCGACAGGCGUAGGCGAUGGAUAACAGGUUGAUAUUCCUGUACCACCUAUAAUCGUUUUAAUCGAUGGGGGGACGCAGUAGGAUAGGCGAAGCGUGCGAUUGGAUUGCACGUCUAAGCAGUAAGGCUGAGUAUUAGGCAAAUCCGGUACUCGUUAAGGCUGAGCUGUGAUGGGGAGAAGACAUUGAGUCUUCGAGUCGUUGAUUUCACACUGCCGAGAAAAGCCUCUAGAUAGAAAAUAGGUGCCCGUACCGCAAACCGACACAGGUAGUCAAGAUGAGAAUUCUAAGGUGAGCGAGCGAACUCUCGUUAAGGAACUCGGCAAAAUGACCCCGUAACUUCGGGAGAAGGGGUGCUCUUUAGGGUUAACGCCCAGAAGAGCCGCAGUGAAUAGGCCCAAGCGACUGUUUAUCAAAAACACAGGUCUCUGCUAAACCGUAAGGUGAUGUAUAGGGGCUGACGCCUGCCCGGUGCUGGAAGGUUAAGAGGAGUGGUUAGCUUCUGCGAAGCUACGAAUCGAAGCCCCAGUAAACGGCGGCCGUAACUAUAACGGUCCUAAGGUAGCGAAAUUCCUUGUCGGGUAAGUUCCGACCCGCACGAAAGGCGUAACGAUUUGGGCACUGUCUCAACGAGAGACUCGGUGAAAUCAUAGUACCUGUGAAGAUGCAGGUUACCCGCGACAGGACGGAAAGACCCCGUGGAGCUUUACUGUAGCCUGAUAUUGAAAUUCGGCACAGCUUGUACAGGAUAGGUAGGAGCCUUUGAAACGUGAGCGCUAGCUUACGUGGAGGCGCUGGUGGGAUACUACCCUAGCUGUGUUGGCUUUCUAACCCGCACCACUUAUCGUGGUGGGAGACAGUGUCAGGCGGGCAGUUUGACUGGGGCGGUCGCCUCCUAAAAGGUAACGGAGGCGCUCAAAGGUUCCCUCAGAAUGGUUGGAAAUCAUUCAUAGAGUGUAAAGGCAUAAGGGAGCUUGACUGCGAGACCUACAAGUCGAGCAGGGUCGAAAGACGGACUUAGUGAUCCGGUGGUUCCGCAUGGAAGGGCCAUCGCUCAACGGAUAAAAGCUACCCCGGGGAUAACAGGCUUAUCUCCCCCAAGAGUUCACAUCGACGGGGAGGUUUGGCACCUCGAUGUCGGCUCAUCGCAUCCUGGGGCUGUAGUCGGUCCCAAGGGUUGGGCUGUUCGCCCAUUAAAGCGGUACGCGAGCUGGGUUCAGAACGUCGUGAGACAGUUCGGUCCCUAUCCGUCGUGGGCGUAGGAAAUUUGAGAGGAGCUGUCCUUAGUACGAGAGGACCGGGAUGGACAUACCUCUGGUGUACCAGUUGUCGUGCCAACGGCAUAGCUGGGUAGCUAUGUGUGGACGGGAUAAGUGCUGAAAGCAUCUAAGCAUGAAGCCCCCCUCAAGAUGAGAUUUCCCAACUUCGGUUAUAAGAUCCCUCAAAGAUGAUGAGGUUAAUAGGUUCGAGGUGGAAGCAUGGUGACAUGUGGAGCUGACGAAUACUAAUCGAUCGAAGACUUAAUCAA
rnacentral:rRNA from 1 species